rnacentral:rRNA from 1 species
CUCCGGUUGAUCCCGCCGGACCCGACUGCUAUCAGAGUGGGACUAAGCCAUGCGAGUCAACGUAGCAAUACGUGGCAUACGGCUCAGUAACACGUAGUCAACAUGCCCAGGGGACGAGGAUAACCUCGGGAAACUGAGGAUAAACCUCGAUAGGCCAUGAUUUCUGGAAUGAUUCUUGGCUCAAACCUAUAUGGCCCCUGGAUUGGACUGCGGCCGAUCAGGCUGUUGGUGAGGUAAUGGCCCACCAAACCUAUUACCGGUACGGGCUCUGAGAGGAGGAGCCCGGAGAUGGGCACUGAGACAAGGGCCCAGGCCCUAUGGGGCGCAGCAGGCGCGAAACCUCUGCAAUAGGCGAAAGCUUGACAGGGUUACUCUGAGUGAUUUCCGCUAAGGGAAUCUUUUGGCACCUCUAAAAAUGGUGCAGAAUAAGGGGUGGGCAAGUCUGGUGUCAGCCGCCGCGGUAAUACCAGCACCCCGAGUGGUCGGGACGAUUAUUGGGCCUAAAGCAUCCGUAGCCGGUCCUGCAAGUCUUCCGUUAAAUCCAGCUGCUCAACAGAUGGGCUGCGGGAGAUACUACAGGGCUAGGAGGCGGGAGAGGCAAGCGGUACUUUGUGGGUAGGGGUAAAAUCCGCUGAUCCAUAGAAGACCACCAGUGGCGAAGGCGGCUUGCCAGAACGCGCUCGACGGUGAGGGAUGAAAGCUGGGGGAGCAAACCGGAUUAGAUACCCGGGUAGUCCCAGCUGUAAACGAUGCAGACUCGGUGAUGGGUUGGCCUCGCGCCUGCCCAGUGCCGCAGGGAAGCCGUUAAGUCUGCCGCCUGGGGAGUACGGUCGCAAGACUGAAACUUAAAGGAAUUAGAGGGGGAGCA